rnacentral:lncRNA from 1 species
GUAUGUGGGAGUCUACAUUCUCCAUUGCUGCGUCAGUGUGAAAACUGAGCUGUACAUUAGUAAUAAGAUGGCUGUGUUAUGUGGAUGCUGCUACAUAUAAUAUCAGGAAGAAAUGGAUGACUUAGGUGGAGCGCUGAAUUGACUUCGACUAAAGGGUAAAACAACUGCGUGCUUCCCUGAGUUUGUAAAAGGGAUUGAAAAGGAAAUGGCGUAUAUCCGCCAUUGUUGUUUCCUUCUCCACACACGCACGCGCGCGCGCACACACCCGGGCUCACGGAGGCAAAUAAUAACGUAGGACUUAUGUUGCUAAAUACUGACAUGUAGCGGACUUCUAGUGAAAUUGACCACAUGUGCACUUAAUUUGAAACUUAGUAGCAUUCGUUGUCUGAAGUGCGAUGGACAGAAAUGUACUGAAGGCACUAGUUUGACGUUAAACUGGCAGUAAGUAUUCAUCCGCUCCUUCAUGGGUGUCAAGAGCACGGUGGUACCCGGAUGGAGUGUCAUGGCCGCCGUCGAUGUGGUCCCUCAGAGCUCCGAGCAGGACGCCUAAUGUGUCUGUUGAGCUAUUCCGUCAUGCUGAACACUGUUUAAAAAAAUACCUGCGCGUUGAAUGGAUGUCGUCUGAACUUCCCUCAAUUUCACAGUUGUGAUGCUUUAACAUGAUCUGCUGAUAGCCAGAGGCAGCAUGCAUUAAUGGCUGGACAAAGACUUCUCAAACAGUCACAGGUUACACAGAAGUGCCUGAACACAUAUCACUUUGCCAAUGCACCAAACCACAUGAUGCGCUGGAAACCACAAGAGCGGAGUACACCUCCGCAUGAACAAAUAGUGCACACACUGCGGUGUGUGUUCACUGGAGGCGCUUUGUACAACCAACAACAGAACAUUUUGCGUGUUGAGCUUCGAGCAACGACUUUGAGAAACACUACUGCUAUCUCACCGCUGGACACACCAAACUCCACCUCGGGGAUGAACGCUCCCCUCUCAGAUGUCCCCUAUCACAGCUCAGAGGAGUUUGACCUAUGUAAAUGACUCCUGCAUUGAUGUCACUGCAGGAGCUGUAUCUGAGCGGAACAAAAAAACAGCCAGCAGCAAUAAUAAUGAUAUUGAUAAAUAUAAGGAUAAAAUAAAGGAGAGAGGAAUUACUGCA